GUCUUGGCGUAAUCCAUUCUUAUUUCUAAAUUCAGUAUAAUUAUAAGUGUAAGUACCACAGAACAGAUUUAGUGUACGGACUGUUAGAAUGGCUGCAGGUUGAUACACCAUAUAUAUAAGUAUAGCACGUACGUUGUAUGUUUCUUUUACAAUGGUAUUUAACCCUUUUAUUAUCCAUAAAAUUCCAAAAUAACACAUAACUACAGUUCUAUCCUAAACAUUGAAAAAGAA
rnacentral:lncRNA from 1 species